rnacentral:rRNA from 1 species
AGCACCUACGGGACGCAGCAGUGGGGAAUAUUGCACAAUGGGGGGAACCCUGAUGCAGCGACGCCGCGUGGGCGAGGAAGUAUUUCGGUAUGUAAAGCCCUAUCGGCAGGGAAGAAGAAAUGACGGUACCUGAAUAAGAAGCACCGGCUAAAUACGUGCCAGCAGCCGCGGUAAUACGUAUGGUGCAAGCGUUAUCCGGAUUUACUGGGCGUAAAGGGAGCGCAGGCGGCGCGCCAAGUCUGAUGUUAAACCCCGGGGCUCAACCCCCGGCAAGCAUUGGAAACUGGCCG